GGAGAGUACAGCUCAGUGGUAGAGCGCAUGCUUAGCAUGCGUGAGGUGCUGGGUUUAAUCCCCAGUACCUCCA
rnacentral:tRNA from 1 species